rnacentral:rRNA from 1 species
UACGGAGGGUGCAAGCGUUGCUCGGAAUUAUUGGGCGUAAAGGGUAGGUAGGUGGUCUUAUUUGUCUGGGGUGAAAGCCUUGAGCUUAACUCGAGAAGUGCCCCAGAAACGGUGAGACUGGAGUCCUGGAGAGGGUCGUGGAAUUCCCGGUGUAGCGGUGAAAUGCGUAGAGAUCGGGAGGAACACCAGAGGCGAAAGCGGCGACCUGGACAGGCACUGACACUCAACUACGAAAGCGUGGGGAGCAAACAGG